rnacentral:rRNA from 1 species
GACGAACGCUGGCGGCGUGCUUAACACAUGCAAGUCGAACGAAGUGGCGAACGGGUGAGUAACGCUUAAUCCACCUGCCCUUCAGAGGGGGACAACAGUUGGAACCGACUGCUAAUCCCGCAUACUGAAGGAGGGGCUUGCGUCUGAUUAGCUAGUUGGAGGGGUAACGGCCCACCAAGGCGAUGCUCAGUAGCCGGUCUGAGAGGAUGAACGGCCACAUUGGGACUGGGACACGGCCCAGACUCCGACGGGAGGCAGCAGUGGGGAAUCUUCCGAAAUGGACGAAAGUCUGACGGAGCAACGCCGCGUGAGUGAUGACGCCCUUCGGGUUGUAAAGCUCUGUUAAUCGGGACGCGGUACCGGAAUAGAAAGCCACGGCUAACUACGUGCCAGCAGCCGCGGUAAUUC